ACCCAAAUGUCCAAAACCUGAAAGAUUAACAAAACGUGGAACUCACCCACGGAAUGGAAUGUUAUUCAGUCAUAAAAAGGAAUGCUGUAUUACAACAUGGUAAACCUUGAGACAGGCUAAGUAAAAGAAGACAGACACAAAAAGUCACAUAUUGUUAGGUUCCCUUUAUGUGAAAUUUCCAGAAGAGGAAGAUCCACAGAGACAUAGGCAGAUUCCAAGAGAACAAGCAGAGCUACAGACUGAGGAACAGAUCUGUUGUUCCAGACUGAGCAAGAAUGGGAGGAAAGAAAUCAGAAACAACUGAACAGACAACUUUCUAGAAGUUCUGCUACAAAGGAGAGCAAAUAUAUAGGACAGUACAUGGCAAUGAAGGGUAGUUGGCUCCUAUAGACUCCUAUUCACUGGAAAGUUAGAACCGACUCUAUAAGAACAAUGCCAAAACCAUAUUCACUGACAUUACGAUCUAAGCAUAAAGGAGAGAUGACUAAUGUGGUAAACUCAAGGUCACCAUUCCAAACCAAGCUGGUGAAGUUGCAAGUUUUUAACCAACAAACUCAACAAUGCCUUUUUAUUCAACUAUUUAAAAAUGCACCAAGUAUAAAAUUAUAA